UGUAUUGAGUCAUUGACAUUAGCUAGUAGCAUUGACAGUACAUGGUUCCUUCCAGAGUUUGCCCACCCAUUGCCAUACUUAAAUGGGCAACUAGGGAGGAACCCAUCAUUAGUAUAUUGAUCUUAUCCUUCCAUUCAUCAUAAGGCCAAACGUUAGCAAAGAGAAGGAGUCCACCAUUACCAAGCCAGCAAGGAAGGAGAGGCAGGGAAGGGAGGUGCUGGUCAAGGAGGAAGCAACCAGACCAGAUCAAGGGAGCACUUGGUUUUGUAGCAGGCAACAUCAAGCCAAUCAAGACAGGAGCAAGCUAAUUAACCCCAAGAACCACAGCUUAAUUUCCUCAAGGAGAAUCACGUCUUAUAGCAAGACUUGAAACUUGCACCAACUAUGCCUAGGCCUUUCCCUGGCUGUCGGCGUACAUCUAUCUAUGCCGGCGGGGACCAUCAGCGUAGAUAAAGCCGUCGGCAACGGUGGUUAUUCCGGUAGUGUGCAUACUUUUUUUUAAUCCUUUUGCCGUCAAAAAUUGUGCGCUUUGCUUAGCACCAUUGGGAACUUGGGACUGGAAUUAGACCCUUGGUCUCUUUUAUAUUUUCCUACUAAUACUAAGCAGCAACUUUUCCCGGAAUGCGUGUUAGGGUAAAUUAAUUUGGAUAGCAAGAGUGCAGUGCAUAUGCUCAUCUUCAAGUGCAUCAGUAAAUCACAACAAUGCAUGGUCGGAAUUGUGCUACGAACUGAACACUAAGUGAAUCGACUUAGCAAAUCUGGCCUCCUAAACGUCGUGUUUGUUUUUAGCCCUUAUUUUACAGCCAUAGUCUGCAUUUUUCUACUUAUAUAUCAGAUCAUUUUCAUGUGAUUGGUGGAGAUGAAGAGAGAGAAAGAAAGAGAAGAGAAAAAAGGUGGUCCGGGAUGCGACACUUCGUAAUGACAGACGCAUCCGGGCAUAACCGCGAGCCCUCAUAUCCUUCUUACAUUUGAUUUUAAUACGAGGGUUCGUCAACAGUCCUGACAUAUAGCGAUAAUAUAAGGGAUCUAAUUGAAUCAUUUGUUCGUCCUCCCUUCUUUCUCCCUACGUUUGAGGACGAUUUGAGAAUGUCGGCUGUAGAUGCUCUAACUGGGGUAGCAAACUUAGCGGGCGAUGGUGUUCACACUAGCCAAUCUAUAGACGGUGUCCAAGCAGUGGCGACGUUGUCGACCCACACAACCAGCACGACGGAUCGACGGUAGAGAAGCCCAUGUGACACCACCACGGAUAGGACCUCCAAUCCAAAAGCCAGAGCUUAAAAUCAAGUUUAAUUACCAACAAGUUCAUUAUAGGGAGAAAGAGAAUUAGAAUAUUAUAUGGGAAUUAAUUACUAGCAGCGUCAAUUUGUAAUUAGUUAUCACUGCAACAUGUGGAUGCAUGAAAGUCUUUAGCCUUUGGGUGCAGUCGUUAGAAAAGCGGUUGCAUGGGCUUUGUUCCGCCAAUUUGGCUCACGAGUCAUAUUUUCUUGUAAAAAAUUUGGUACUCGAUGACUUGAGUAUAUUUUAUAUUUGGACUGUGAUAAUGUUCAAACCUUCGGUUUAUAGGGAUAGAUUCGAAAGGUAAUUCCCACCAUCGUUAAACCCAUUUGCUCGAUUUACUCAAACGAGCAUGCAUGCGAGACAGCCAGCCACAGUAACUUUGCAUGCAAGAGAUGAGAGAGAGCACACCGGCUGAAUUUUUAAACAAGCAUGCAUAUAACAACAAAAUUGAUGUCAGCAAAAGAUUACACCAAGAUUUAAUAUUUAAAAUGUUUUGUAGCUUAAACCGUUGGUCCGAUUGAAAAACCGUUUGCACGUAAAAAUUCGGCACGAUGAGAGCUUCGAAACUACAUCCCAUAUUGAUAUGUUUCGACAAAAUUUUUCUGGUCAAAAAUUAUCACACCUAGGCCAAGUAAGUUAUUACAUAUGUUAUUUGUAUACUACCAUGCGAUUUACACAUAAGUUAUAAGGGUAUGUCUUUUUGGAAAGAAAUAUUCGGGUCAAAAGUUACCGUGGUGUUUGUACGGGAGUUAUCAUCAUGCUAUUUACACAUAAAUCUACCAAGGGUAUUUUUGUUUAAAAGAACUCUCUUGGAUAAAAAAAUAUCGCGGUGUUUGUAUGUGAGUUAUCAGCCCUAUUGUGCAUAUAUUAUCAUGUAAUUUAGACAUAAAUUACUGGGUAUAUAUUUUUCAACAGUUUUCCCCGAGUCAAAAAAGAUACCAUGGUGAUUGUAUGUGAGUUUUCACCUCUAUUAUGCGUAUAUUAUCAUGCUAUUUAUACAUAAGAGGUAUAUUUUUCAACAAACAUUCGCCGGGUCAAAGUUACCGCGGUGUUUGUGCGUGACUUACCAUGCAUGCGGUUCGUAUAUUAUCAUCCUAUUUACACAUUAGUUAUCAAAUGUAUGUUUUCAAGCAACUUCUCCCCAUCGGAUCAAAGUUACCAUGCUGUUUGAACUAUUUUUUUUGCCCCGGUUAAGUCAGGUCUGCGAUUCAUAUAUUACCAUGAUAGUUACAUAGAAGUUAUCAUGGCAUGUACGUGAGGUGCAUGUAUUACAAAGCUAUUUCCACAGAAGAUACCCGUGGUAACUUUUUAAUUUUUAUGGGCAAAAGUUACAACGGGUGUUUUUAUGUGAGUUACUAGGUAUACGAUGCGUAAAUUAUCAUGCCAUUUCCACAAAAGUUAUUGAGGUAUGGUUUCAACACCUAUUUUUUGGGUCAAAAAUUACCACGAUGUUUAUGUGUUAUCAGACGGGCAAUGUGUAUAUCAUCAUGAUAUUUAGAUAAAAUUAAAUACGGUAUAUUUUUAACAACCUUUUAUCAAAAAAAAAUACAUUAAAAGAUUUUGGGGGCAUGUUUUAAAAAAAAUCCCGGGUCAAAGGGUAUUGCAGUGUUUGUGAGUGCGUUAUCAGCUCUAUGGUGCUUGUGUUACCAUGAUAUUUACACAAACGUUACCGACUGUAAUGUUUUCAACGACUUUUUUUGACACGACCCCCUCUCCUCUAUUUAAGAACAGAUGGGGUACAACCGAAGUAUC